AUUGGAAGCUGAACACACCUCCAACAUGGGCAAACAAAAUGCCUUUUGUCUACACUUUCAGCCUUCCUUGAGUAAAAUGAAGGAUUCUGCCUGGUUUUGCAGAGCCAGCUGAUCCAGAUUGUUCCCCUUUAUGUAUA
ensembl:scaRNA small Cajal body-specific RNA 3